UUUCCGUAGGUGAACCUGCGGAAGGAUCAUUAAUGAGUUGUCAUGGGGUUCGAUGCUGGCAGCCAGUUUUUGGAUGCAUGUGCUUGCCCUAACAGUCAUCUUCUUCCAAACACCUGUGCACAUUUUUGAGGGAGUCUUGAGUUGGUUGCCGCUCUUGGGUGAUUUUCUCACAUUCCCUUAAAUCAUUAUACGCUAUUAACAAUGUUGAACGUGCUCUGUGCCGCAAGGCCAUUAAUAUAAUACAACUUUUAACAACGGAUCUCUUGGCUCUCGCAUCGAUGAAGAACGCGGC
rnacentral:misc_RNA from 1 species